CCCCAAAACGACCCCCCACCUCAGCCCGUGCCCCUUUAUCCAACGGCUCUUCUUUUUCCAUGCACUCGCUGACCUGCGUUGGCGACCCAAAUACAAAGCCUUUUGCUAUAUAAUAUUUUUUUUCUUUUCUACUUGGUGUCUUUUGGAGGGGGAGGGGCGAGCCUGUCCAGAUCCCUAUUUGCGAAGCUGCCAUCUGGAAGGGGCAUUCGAGGGGCCAGAAGCAAAUUAGCGCAGCUCCAUAUCUGGAUGGGCUGCAUAACUUUUAAGCUCCCUGAACUAAAAGAUAAUUGGGACACACGCACACACAGGUACAGGAAAUACGGCCAGACCAAAGCUUUUUUUCAGACCGCAGCUGACCGGAAGCCGCUGCCCCUCCAUUCAUUCAUUCUGCUCGCCUCGGUGGAGUCCUUUAACAGGCAACAAACCCUGAAGCACAAGUUGGACUUUUGUAAAGAUCUGCGUUCUUCGGGAGGAAGAAGUUGAUGUUCUGGAAGAAAAUACCCACAGAAUGUACCCGGCGUCUCCUAACGCAGCUGCCAGCCAGCCAAAGGCUGUAAAAACCUUAAGUAAAAAUGAAGCUGACAGACACCAAGAUUUGUCUCCGAAGUCACCUACGCUGACCUCGCUGUGGCCAGAGCAGCCCUUAGCGCCGGCAAGGACCCCUUCAGAGAACCCCAUCCUGUUGCUCCCUUUUGCAAGCCAGGAAACUGGGACUGAAAAGACAGAGCCACUAGCUCACCCCAGGUCACACAGCUUUGCAAGUGGGGCUGCUGCCCGGCCUCACCACUGUCCCUACUCCCACAGAAUGAAGUGAACUGCUCAAGGAGGAUCCUGGGCUGCGGGGUGGGAAAAAGCAAGUGAAGCUGAAUAAAGCAAAACUGGGAAAUGCA